UUUACUUUUUCAUAGAGAAUACAUUGGUUGUUGUCCGAUCACCGAAGUUAAGCAACGUCAGUCCCGGUCAGUGCUUGGGAGGGUGACCACUUGGGAACACCGGGUGCUAAUUCU